ACCUAACAGUUACAUAAUGUGACUGACAUUUGCCAAGAUAGGAGAUUCACAUG
rnacentral:sRNA from 12 species